CUGUUGUUCGCUGGCGAUGACGAUUUAUAUGAUAUGAUCCCGGAAUUGUUUUGUCGAUUUCAUGGAGCCCAGGUCUCGUUCCCCGAAAAUCUAGUCAGAAAUAGGAAGAGUUGCACGCCUCAAAGCUUCACAUCGGUGCACUUUUGUCUGCAUAUCUUUUCAGCCCGAACGCUUUUCAUUCAGUUGGUUGAGUGACGGCAACCGUUCACUUAAAGAGCUGGACGUAACAUCGCAGUUGCUAACGUACCUGAGCGAUACUUCGGUUUGGUGUACAUCGCACGCAACUCUUAUUCCAGUUUUCGUUGACUAUGGAUGACCGUGACCAAGAUUGUGUAGACACCGUGACUCAGCCGGGUACAUCUUCUGACACUAAGGGCCGUCGAAUUCAAAUUUCCCUAAGCCGCCAUUUUGUUUUGAGAACGAAGCGACCUCAUCCAGCGAUUGGUGCGAUUGCAAGCGGCUGAAAAUUAACACUCCGUUGUCAGGGUUGCAAGCGAUUUGUUGUUUUUUGGCAACGCACCCAUUAUGUCAUAUAAUCAACACGCUACUUAACAUGGCUAUUUUCAUGGUCUGUGAUAUUAUUGCGUUACAAUGACGAUCUGUACAGUCAUUUGAAGUUUCUUG
rnacentral:misc_RNA from 1 species